CAUUCAUCUUCUUUUUCAUCAAGCCGUCUCCUGUGAGUAUCCACUUGCCCCAUGAGCUCUGAGUUUCUUUUCUCUAGACGACUUUUAGCUGUAUCUGUUUUCUUCACCUGGGACAAAUAAGAAUCAACCAUCACAGCAAUAUAAAGAGCCCAUAUUCCCAGAUCCAGCUGCUGACGAUACAAGCACAGUGUUUUUCUCUUCACACUUCGAUGAAGUUUGGCCCAGGAAAGACAGACACAAGCCUGUGUUCGGGAGCUAGGGCUGGAUCAAUCUUCAUCUGGCAUCUCAUCCAUAGCCAUUCCAACAAGGUGGCCACAAGUUGGCAUUGCCUGAUGGGAGUCCUUGAAGCACGCAAGCCUCCAUACUACAUCAGAGUGUUGAUCCAGGUCAUGGAGGCCUAUCAUGGUAUAUUCCAAUUGUGGAACAGUAAAGAAAUCAAAUUGUGUUGUGAAGCACUAUCCGUGGGUCUUUCAUACUACUAAAGUAUAAAGACCCACAGACUUGAAGCUUCACAAACAAUUUGAUUUCUUUACUAUUGCACAAUUGGAAUUUGACUUGUCGUAUCACAUGUAUUCUACAUUUAGUAAUCAGAAUUAUUCAAAAAAACUAAAUUUAUCCUCCAGUUCCCUGUAUUCAACUAAGAAGCACCUUUUGGAAUGGAGGUUCAGCAUGAAGCUAUAUGUAUUAUUCAUCUCUGAAGUGCAGACAAUUAAAAUUAAACGUUCUCUGCUGUAAAUCAAUUACAAGUUCAUUUAACUUAACAGAUGUUCGGGUCAAUUAAAAAUCAGACCUAAUUUCUCUUUAUAAAACAACUCAGAAGGAAAAUUAGAGACAAAACUAUUCUAAUUCCUAGAUCAACAAUGACUUGUUACAACUGGAGGUGAUGAAAGCUGCAAGCUUGUUUAAUGUCAUUUCCAGAACACAAGUAUAAAGGAGAACAAAAUAACUCUUCCUGAAUAUGUUGAGAAUUAUUUAAGAAUUAAACAUGCAAUAAAUUGUACACUUUUACUAAAAAAUUCUCAUUAUGGUAUAUGAACGUUGCUUUCUAAAUGCAGUGAUUUCAUGUACACAAUAUAAAGUUUACAAUUUUAUUUCAAUGUAUUAUUUAAAUAUAUUACAUUUACAUUGUAUUGGUCUCAAAUUUAUGCAAUAGUAAUUCUGUUGCUAUGGCUCGUAACAGAACUCCCAAGGAUAAACUUCCAAACACAUGAACUGUUUAUUCCUUUGUCCACAUCAGGCAUGUCACUGUCAGGGACAACAAUACAUACCAUUAACAUGUACAAACAAGCUGGAUGAACUCAGCAGGUUGGGCAGCAUCCGUUGACUGCUCCUUUCAACCGAUGUUGCCCGACCUGCUGAGUUCAUCCAGCUUGUUUGUACAUGUUGAUUUGACCACAGCAUCUGCACUGUACUUUGUGUUUAUAAUAUAUCCCAUUGUUGUCUUUCUAUCCAAUGAAUUCUGAAUCCAUCCCUAAUCAGAUUCAAAUUCAUCUACGACAGAAAUAGCAAAAUGUGAUGUUUGCGUUAACCAACACAACCCAAGGAAAUUGCAGGGGGCAGCCCACAGUGUCGUCAUACAUUCCAGUGCCAACACAGCAUACUCACAAUGCUCGGCAGAAGCAACAAAACAAUAGCAAAAGCCGCCCCACGCACUGCAAUGCCAGAACCGGUCUCCAGCCUCCAGUUUCCAGCCAUUGGGCUUCGAUCUUCAGUACUGACCCCCAAACCAGCUAUUGGCAGGACUGGCCGCCGUGCCUCCAAUCUUGAGAACUCACCAGCCCUCAUGUCUCCUGCUCACAUGGAUGUCCCAUCCCACCAUAUCCGUGUGUGUCAAGUAACUCACCAGCACGUAUACAAAAACUGUACUCCACUGGGCCUUGAUGGUGAGCAUCUUACAUCAACCAUUCAAGCUCAAGAGAUAUAUUACUAAUUCCUGCCACAGCGGUUUUCUCCUCUGGGCAUAUAGCUAUGAGAAAAUAAUUUCAAAAUUUAGAUUCACACAUCACCAAAUGUUCAUUUCAUUCAUCUAGCCCAUACUCAAAGUAAAAGUAGGUCAAUAUUCACAUAACGUAGAAGCAGUAGGUCACUUGGCCCCUCAAGUCUAUCAACAUGUUCAUGGCCAACCUCUCAUCUCAACACAACCAGAAAUGAUCUUCCCUCUCUCACACACUACUUCCAUGCUCUAUAUUCAUAACUCUCAAUUUCUUUAACCUUCAGCUGUCUAUCGGCCAAGUACAAUCAAUGACAAUCUACCACAGCCCUUAAGAAUACAAUUCCUGUUUUUUGCAAAAUAUUCUUAUUUCUAUUCUAAAUAACCAACUCUGUUUUGAUACUAUAACCCAUAAUUCUAGAUUCCAUAGCCAGAGGAAACAUCCUACCCACAUCUAGUGUUGCUGCUUCUAAGAAUUCUGCACAUUUCCGCAGGGUGACCUCAUUCACAGAACAAUAAUGAGUAUGGAACAGCACUGAACUGAUCCUUCUGCCUAUAUUGUCUGUAAUGAACAUGAUCUCAAACUAACUUUAAAUCUAGAGUAGAGGAGAGAGGCUUAGUCUACUCAAUAUCUCCUUAAAUGAUAAUGCCCUUUAGCAACUUAGUUUUAAGUUUUUAAAUGCAAGUCAAAAUAUCCAAUUAAAAGACUGCUACUUGUUUCUAGAAAGAAUCUGAAGGGGCUCAUCCAAAAGCUCACAGGUAUAAAUCCAUGCCAAUAGAUUGGCCAUCGCAUCCACAAAACCUGCAUAACACCGUACUACUUUAAAGGAUGAGUGCUCUAUUCUUGGAGUGGACACAGUACAUGAUACAGGAGUAUGCCUGAACCCUGAUAUCUGAACAAAGGGGCUCAAAUUAGCAAUGGAUAAGUAAAUGGUGGAAAACUGAACCAUUUUGUUUUCAAUCCGUUAAAACAUUCAGAAGAUCAUCAGGCACUCGAGCAAUGAAAAUAAUGUUAUUAAAGAAAAAACAUUUAACAAAUGUAUGCCUUUUAAAAUGCACUAUACAGGGUAGAUAAUCAGCACCUAAUGAAAUAGAAUAGUUAGAUUGCUAGGAAGCGCUUAAAGGGUCAAAUGAAAAUGAACACCAUCCAAGAGAACAGAGGUCGUCAUGGACAGGGAGCUGGCUAAAUAAUAGAAAUAGGAUAAAUGGAUACUCUUGUAUUGACAAAUGACAAUUAUAGUUCAAGUACAUUUUAUUGCCAUUCAACCAUAUAUACCACCAAACAAAACAAUGUUCCUUCGGACCAAGGUACACAACAAUGCCAAUAAAUCGGUGGUCGGGCCUCAACUACUUAUCUGUGUAAAUUACUUGAAUGAAAGAAUUGAGUGCACUGUCGCUCUAUCUGUUAAUGACACCAAGAUAAUUAGGUUAACAAAUUGCGAGGACACAAGCAGCCUGUGAAGGAAUAUGGAUAGAUUGAGCAAAUGAGUGAAAAGUUAGCAGCUUAGAGUAUAAUGUGAGAAAAGGUCAUGUACUUACAUUUUGAGACUGUUUUCUGCUACACUAAUCAUGUGCUAUAUGUGCUGUGUAUGACUAUUGGUUUUGUGUUUGGCACCUUUGCCCUGAAGGAACGCAGUUUCGUGUGGCUGUAUUCAUGUGUAUAGUUAAAUGACAAUUAAACUUAAACUUUGGAAGAAAGAGAGUGGAAAUUAUUUUAACAGAGCAAGACAACAAAAAUGAUGAGGUGAGAUACAGUAGGCCAAAGCCAGCAUGAUUUCCUGAAGGGAAAAUCCUGUCUGACUAACCUACUGCAAUUUUUUUGAGGAAAUUACAAGCACAGUAGACAAAGGAGAUGCAGUAGAUGUGGUGUACUUGGAUUUUCAGGAGGCCUUUGACAAGGUGCUGCACAUGAGGCUGCUUAGCAAGAAAAGAGCCCAUGGAAUUACAGGGAAGUUACUAGCAUGGGUGGAGCAUUGGCUGAUCGACAAAAAAACAGAGUGGGAUUAAAGGGAUCCUAUUCUGGCUGGCUGCUGGUUACCAGUGGAGUUCCACAGGGAUCAUUGUUGGGACCGCUGCUUUUUAUGAUGUAUGUCAAUGGUUUGGACUAUGGGAUUAAUGGAUUUGUGGCUAAAUUUGAUGAUCCAAAGAUAGGUGGAGGAACAGGUAGUGUUGAGGAAACAGUCAGCCUGCAGAGAGACUUAGAUAGUUUAGGGCAGGGGUCAGCAACCUUUACCACUGAAAGAGCCACUUGGACCCGUUUCCCACAGAAAAGAAAACACUGGGAGCCGCAAAACCCGUUUGACAUUUAAAAUGAAAUAACACUGCAUACAACGUUUUGUUUUGCCUUUAUGCUAUGUAUAAACAAACUAUAAUGUGUUGCAUUUAUGAAAUUGAUGAGCUCCUGCAGAGAAAACGAAAUUACAUUUCUGCAUGCAACAAAAACAUUUUGAACUCCGAAAAUAAG